rnacentral:rRNA from 1 species
UACGUAGGGCGCAAGCGUUGUCCGGAAUUAUUGGGCGUAAAGGGCUCGUAGGCGGCCAACUAAGUCGGAUGUGAAAUCCCCAGGCUCAACUUGGGAACUGCAUCCGAUACUGGAUGGCUUGAAUUCGGGAGAGGGAUGCAGAAUUCCGGGUGUAGCGGUGGAAUGCGUAGAGAUCCGGAAGAACACCGGUGGCGAAGGCGGCCUCCUGGGCCAGAACUGACGCUCAUGCACGAAAGCGUGGGGAGCAAACAGG